GACGAACGCUGGCGGCGUGCCUAAUACAUGCAAGUAGAACGCUGAAGACUUUAGCUUGCUAAAGUUGGAAGAGUUGCGAACGGGUGAGUAACGCGUAGGUAACCUGCCUACUAGCGGGGGAUAACUAUUGGAAACGAUAGCUAAUACCGCAUAACAGCAUUUAACCCAUGUUAGAUGCUUGAAAGGAGCAAUUGCUUCACUAGUAGAUGGACCUGCGUUGUAUUAGCUAGUUGGUGAGGUAACGGCUCACCAAGGCGACGAUACAUAGCCGACCUGAGAGGGUGAUCGGCCACACUGGGACUGAGACACGGCCCAGACUCCUACGGGAGGCAGCAGUAGGGAAUCUUCGGCAAUGGGGGCAACCCUGACCGAGCAACGCCGCGUGAGUGAAGAAGGUUUUCGGGUCGUAAAGCUCUGUUGUAAGAGAAGAACGUGUGUGAGAGUGGAAAGUUCACACAGUGACGGUAACUAC
rnacentral:rRNA from 1 species